rnacentral:rRNA from 1 species
ACGAACGCUGGCGGCGUGCUUAACCCAUGCAAGUCGCACGGAAAGGCCCUGCUUGCAGGGUACUCGAGUGGCGAACGGGUGAGUAACACGUGGGUGAUCUGCCCUGCACUUCGGGAUAAGCCUGGGAAACUGGGUCUAAUACCGGAUAGGAGCCAUUUUUAGUGUGAUGGUUGGAAAGUUUUUUCGGUGUAGGAUGAGCUCGCGGCCUAUCAGCUUGUUGGUGGGGUAAUGGCCUACCAAGGCGGCGACGGGUAGCCGGCCUGAGAGGGUGGACGGCCACAUUGGGACUGAGAUACGGCCCAGACUCCUACGGGAGGCAGCAGUGGGGAAUAUUGCACAAUGGGCGCAAGCCUGAUGCAGCGACGCCGCGUGGGGGAUGACGGCCUUCAGGUUGUAAACUCCUUUCGCUAGGGACGAAGCUUUUUGUGACGGUACCUAGAUAAGAAGCACCGGCUAACUACGUG